rnacentral:rRNA from 1 species
CCUACGGGAGGCUGCAGUGGGGAAUAUUGCACAAUGGGGGGAACCCUGAUGCAGCGACGCCGCGUGGGUGAAGGAGCGUUUCGGCGCGUAAAGCCCUAUCGGCAGGGAAGAAGAUGACGGUACCUGGCCAAGAAGCCCCGGCUAACUACGUGCCAGCAGCCGUGGUAAUACGUAGGGGACAAGCGUUAUCCGGAUUUACUGGGUGUAAAGGGGGCGCAGACGGCAAUGCAAGCCAGGAGUGAAAGCCCGGGGCCCAACCCCGGGACUGCUCUUGGAACUGCAUGGCUGGAGUACAGGAGGGGCAGGCGGAAUUCCUAGUGUAGCGGUGAAAUGCGUAGAUAUUAGGAGGAACACCGGUGGCGAAGGCGGCCUGCUGGACUGUGACUGACGUUGAGGCCCGAAGGCGUGGGGAGCAAACAGGAUUAGAUACCCCUGUAGUC